rnacentral:rRNA from 1 species
UACGAAGGGGGCUAGCGUUGCUCGGAAUUACUGGGCGUAAAGCGCACGUAGGCGGAUAUUUAAGUCAGGGGUGAAAUCCCAGAGCUCAACUCUGGAACUGCCUUUGAUACUGGGUAUCUCGAGUAUGGAAGAGGUGAGUGGAAUUCCGAGUGUAGAGGUGAAAUUCGUAGAUAUUCGGAGAACACCAGUGGCGAAGGCGGCUCACUGGCCGNUAUGACGCUGAGGUGCGAAAGCGUGGGGGAGC